rnacentral:rRNA from 1 species
AAUCAACGCUGGCGGCGUGCCUAACACAUGCAAGUCGAACGCGAAAGGGGCUUCGGCCCUGAGUAGAGUGGCGAACGGGUGAGUAACACGUGGGUGAUCUACCUUCGAGUGGGGGAUAACGUUCCGAAAGGAGCGCUAAAACCGCAUGACGUUCCGGGUUUGAAGACCGGGAAACCAAAGUCGGGGCCCUUAGGGAACUUAAGGCCUGGCGCUCGGAGAGGAGCCCGCGCCUGAUUAGCUAGUUGGUGGGGUAACGGCUCACCAAGGCGACGAUCAGUAGCCGGCCUGAGAGGGCGGACGGCCACACUGGGACUGAGACACGGCCCAGACUCCUACGGGAGGCAG